rnacentral:lncRNA from 1 species
GAAUAAUCUUUAAUAUGCAUAUAUGAUAAGUAAAUAUGUAUGUUGAUUAUACAAUGAGUACAACUCGUUAAUUUCUUGAAUAAUUAUAUAUGUUGCUUAUUUUCCGAGUACUCAUUUAUUCUUGAAUUUGCACUCGCAAUCUGUCAAAGUAAAUCCUAUUUGAUAUGAUAUACGUUUCUUUGAUGAUUAUGUGAAUAUCUAUUAUGCCUUGAUAUGAGACUUGUCAGUAACUCCAUGCUAACGGAGAGUAGUUAGCCUGUGUGCACAUAGUAUUCUGUAAACCUAGCUGGUGAGAGAGGCAUCAGCCUGUGGCGACUGAUCAUCCCACAGUGGUCACCUUCGGGUGUCAUCUGGUCUGGUCACCUUCUGGUGUCAUCUGGUCACCUUCGGGUGUCAUCUGAUCUCUGACAUAUAGUCCAUUACGUUAUGAUGAUACGUUUAGUAUGUAUAUGAUAUGUAUAUGAUAAGUUUAGUAUGUAUAUGUAUAUGUAUAUCAAGAUAAAUGAUCUUGCGAACUAUAAAUAUCAAGAAUAUCUAAAAUGUAUAUCAAUUAUUAUUCCCUCACUGAGUUG